GAGUUUGAUCGUGGCUCAGGAUGAACGCUGGCGGCGUGCCUAAUACAUGCAAGUCGAACGAACAGAUAAGGAGCUUGCUCCUUUGACGUUAGCGGCGGACGGGUGAGUAACACGUGGGUAACCUACCUAUAAGACUGGAAUAACUCCGGGAAACCGGGCUAAUGCCGGAUAACAUGUUGAACCGCAUGGUUCUACAGUGAAAGACGGUCUUGCUGUCACUUAUAGAUGGACCCGCGCCGUAUUAGCUAGUUGGUGGGGUAACGGCCUACCAAGGCGACGAUACGUAGCCGACCUGAGAGGGUGAUCGGCCACACUGGAACUGAGACACGGUCCAGACUCCUACGGGAGGCAGCAGUAGGGAAUCUUCCGCAAUGGGCGAAAGCCUGACGGAGCAACGCCGCGUGAGUGAUGAAGGUCUUCGGAUCGUAAAGCUCUGUUGUUAGGGAAGAACAAAUGUGUAAGUAACUGUGCAUAUCUUGACGGUACCUAACCAGAAAGCCACGGCUAACUACAUGCCAGCCG
rnacentral:rRNA from 1 species